UAUUGCACAAUGGGCGCAAGCCUGAUGCAGCCAUGCCGCGUGUGUGAAGAAGGCCUUCGGGUUGUAAAGCACUUUCAGCGAGGAGGAAGGGUAGUGUGUUAAUAGCACAUUGCAUUGACGUUACUCGCAGAAGAAGCACCGGCUAACUCCGUGCCAGCAGCCGCGGUAAUACGGAGGGUGCAAGCGUUAAUCGGAAUUACUGGGCGUAAAGCGCACGCAGGCGGUUUGUUAAGUCAGAUGUGAAAUCCCCGCGCUUAACGUGGGAACUGCAUUUGAAACUGGCAAGCUAGAGUCUUGUAGAGGGGGGUAGAAUUCCAGGUGUAGCGGUGAAAUGCGUAGAGAUCUGGAGGAAUACCGGUGGCGAAGGCGGCCCCCUGGACAAAGACUGACGCUCAGUCGAAG
rnacentral:rRNA from 1 species